CCUGCGGGCGGCUGCAGUGGGGAAUAUUGGACAAUGGGGGCAACCCUGAUCCAGCCAUGCCGCGUGUGUGAAGAAGGCCCUCGGGUUGUAAAGCACUUUCAGUGAGGAAGAACGCCUGGUGGUUAAUACCCAUCAGGAAAGACAUCACUCACAGAAGAAGCACCGGCUAACUCCGUGCCAGCAGCCGCGGUAAUACGGAGGGUGCGAGCGUUAAUCGGAAUUACUGGGCGUAAAGCGCGCGUAGGUGGCUUGAUAAGCCGGUUGUGAAAGCCCCGGGCUCAACCUGGGAACGGCAUCCGGAACUGUCAAGCUAGAGUGCAGGAGAGGAAGGUAGAAUUCCCGGUGUAGCGGUGAAAUGCGUAGAGAUCGGGAGGAAUACCAGUGGCGAAGGCGGCCUUCUGGACUGACACUGACACUGAGGUGCGAAAGCGUGGGUAGCAAACAGGAUUAGAUACCCUGGUAGUC
rnacentral:rRNA from 1 species